UUAAGCGACUAAGCGUACACGGUGGAUGCCCUGGCAGUCAGAGGCGAUGAAGGACGUGCUAAUCUGCGAUAAGCGUCGGUAAGGUGAUAUGAACCGUUAUAACCGGCGAUUUCCGAAUGGGGAAACCCAGUGUGAUUCGUCACACUAUCAUUAACUGAAUCCAUAGGUUAAUGAGGCGAACCGGGGGAACUGAAACAUCUAAGUACCCCGAGGAAAAGAAAUCAACCGAGAUUCCCCCAGUAGCGGCGAGCGAACGGGGAGCAGCCCAGAGCCUGAAUCAGUGUGUGUGUUAGUGGAAGCGUCUGGAAAGGCGCGCGAUACAGGGUGACAGCCCCGUACACAAAAAUGCACAUACUGUGAGCUCGAUGAGUAGGGCGGGACACGUGGUAUCCUGUCUGAAUAUGGGGGGACCAUCCUCCAAGGCUAAAUACUCCUGACUGACCGAUAGUGAACCAGUACCGUGAGGGAAAGGCGAAAAGAACCCCGGCGAGGGGAGUGAAAAAGAACCUGAAACCGUGUACGUACAAGCAGUGGGAGCACAGAGCAAUCUGUGUGACUGCGUACCUUUUGUAUAAUGGGUCAGCGACUUAUAUUCUGUAGCAAGGUUAACCGAAUAGGGGAGCCGAAGGGAAACCGAGUCUUAACUGGGCGUUAAGUUGCAGGGUAUAGACCCGAAACCCGGUGAUCUAGCCAUGGGCAGGUUGAAGGUUGGGUAACACUAACUGGAGGACCGAACCGACUAAUGUUGAAAAAUUAGCGGAUGACUUGUGGCUGGGGGUGAAAGGCCAAUCAAACCGGGAGAUAGCUGGUUCUCCCCGAAAGCUAUUUAGGUAGCGCCUCGUGAAUUCAUCUCCGGGGGUAGAGCACUGUUUCGGCAAGGGGGUCAUCCCGACUUACCAACCCGAUGCAAACUGCGAAUACCGGAGAAUGUUAUCACGGGAGACACACGGCGGGUGCUAACGUCCGUCGUGAAGAGGGAAACAACCCAGACCGCCAGCUAAGGUCCCAAAGUCAUGGUUAAGUGGGAAACGAUGUGGGAAGGCCCAGACAGCCAGGAUGUUGGCUUAGAAGCAGCCAUCAUUUAAAGAAAGCGUAAUAGCUCACUGGUCGAGUCGGCCUGCGCGGAAGAUGUAACGGGGCUAAACCAUGCACCGAAGCUGCGGCAGCGACGCUUAUGCGUUGUUGGGUAGGGGAGCGUUCUGUAAGCCUGCGAAGGUGUGCUGUGAGGCAUGCUGGAGGUAUCAGAAGUGCGAAUGCUGACAUAAGUAACGAUAAAGCGGGUGAAAAGCCCGCUCGCCGGAAGACCAAGGGUUCCUGUCCAACGUUAAUCGGGGCAGGGUGAGUCGACCCCUAAGGCGAGGCCGAAAGGCGUAGUCGAUGGGAAACAGGUUAAUAUUCCUGUACUUGGUGUUACUGCGAAGGGGGGACGGAGAAGGCUAUGUUGGCCGGGCGACGGUUGUCCCGGUUUAAGCGUGUAGGCUGGUUUUCCAGGCAAAUCCGGAAAAUCAAGGCUGAGGCGUGAUGACGAGGCACUACGGUGCUGAAGCAACAAAUGCCCUGCUUCCAGGAAAAGCCUCUAAGCAUCAGGUAACAUCAAAUCGUACCCCAAACCGACACAGGUGGUCAGGUAGAGAAUACCAAGGCGCUUGAGAGAACUCGGGUGAAGGAACUAGGCAAAAUGGUGCCGUAACUUCGGGAGAAGGCACGCUGAUAUGUAGGUGAAGCGACUUGCUCGUGGAGCUGAAAUCAGUCGAAGAUACCAGCUGGCUGCAACUGUUUAUUAAAAACACAGCACUGUGCAAACACGAAAGUGGACGUAUACGGUGUGACGCCUGCCCGGUGCCGGAAGGUUAAUUGAUGGGGUCAGCGCAAGCGAAGCUCUUGAUCGAAGCCCCGGUAAACGGCGGCCGUAACUAUAACGGUCCUAAGGUAGCGAAAUUCCUUGUCGGGUAAGUUCCGACCUGCACGAAUGGCGUAAUGAUGGCCAGGCUGUCUCCACCCGAGACUCAGUGAAAUUGAACUCGCUGUGAAGAUGCAGUGUACCCGCGGCAAGACGGAAAGACCCCGUGAACCUUUACUAUAGCUUGACACUGAACAUUGAGCCUUGAUGUGUAGGAUAGGUGGGAGGCUUGGAAGUGUGGACGCCAGUCUGCAUGGAGCCGACCUUGAAAUACCACCCUUUAAUGUUUGAUGUUCUAACGUUGACCCGUAAUCCGGGUUGCGGACAGUGUCUGGUGGGUAGUUUGACUGGGGCGGUCUCCUCCUAAAGAGUAACGGAGGAGCACGAAGGUUGGCUAAUCCUGGUCGGACAUCAGGAGGUUAGUGCAAUGGCAUAAGCCAGCUUGACUGCGAGCGUGACGGCGCGAGCAGGUGCGAAAGCAGGUCAUAGUGAUCCGGUGGUUCUGAAUGGAAGGGCCAUCGCUCAACGGAUAAAAGGUACUCCGGGGAUAACAGGCUGAUACCGCCCAAGAGUUCAUAUCGACGGCGGUGUUUGGCACCUCGAUGUCGGCUCAUCACAUCCUGGGGCUGAAGUAGGUCCCAAGGGUAUGGCUGUUCGCCAUUUAAAGUGGUACGCGAGCUGGGUUUAGAACGUCGUGAGACAGUUCGGUCCCUAUCUGCCGUGGGCGCUGGAGAAUUGAGGGGGGCUGCUCCUAGUACGAGAGGACCGGAGUGGACGCAUCACUGGUGUUCGGGUUGUCAUGCCAAUGGCACUGCCCGGUAGCUAAAUGCGGAAGAGAUAAGUGCUGAAAGCAUCUAAGCACGAAACUUGCCCCGAGAUGAGUUCUCCCUGACUCCUUGAGAGUCCUGAAGGAACGUUGAAGACGACGACGUUGAUAGGCCGGGUGUGUAAGCGCAGCGAUGCGUUGAGCUAACCGGUACUAAUGAACCGUGAGGCUUAACCU
rnacentral:rRNA from 1 species